AGUGAACGCUGGCGGUAGGCCUAACACAUGCAAGUCGAACGGCAGCACAGUAAGAGCUUGCUCUUACGGGUGGCGAGUGGCGGACGGGUGAGGAAUACAUCGGAAUCUACUUUUUCGUGGGGGAUAACGUAGGGAAACUUACGCUAAUACCGCAUACGACCUACGGGUGAAAGCAGGGGAUCUUCGGACCUUGCGCGAUUGAAUGAGCCGAUGUCGGAUUAGCUAGUUGGCGGGGUAAAGGCCCACCAAGGCGACGAUCCGUAGCUGGUCUGAGAGGAUGAUCAGCCACACUGGAAAGGAGACACGGUCCAGACUCCUACGGGAGGCAGCAGUGGGGAAUAUUGGACAAUGGGCGCAAGCCUGAUCCAGCCAUACCGCGUGGGUGAAGAAGGCCUUCGGGUUGUAAAGCCCUUUUGUUGGGAAAGAAAAGCAGCAGGUUAAUACCCCGCUGUUCUGACGGUACCCAAAGAAUAAGCACCGGCUAACUUCGUG
rnacentral:rRNA from 1 species